rnacentral:rRNA from 1 species
AAACGCCUACGGGAGGCAGCAGUGGGAAUAUUGCACAAUGGGCGAAAGCCUGAUGCAGCAACGCCGCGUGAAGGAAGAAGGGUUUCGGCUCGUAAACUUCUAUCAACAGGGACGAAAGAAAUGACGGUACCUGAAUAAGAAGCCCCGGCUAACUACGUGCCAACAGCCGCGGUAAUACGUAGGGGGUAAGCGUUAUCCGGAAUUACUGGGUGUAAAAGGUGAGGAGGCGGCAUGGUAAGCCAGAUGUGAAAGCCUUGGGCUUAACCCGAGGAUUGCAUUUGGAACUAUCAAGCUAGAGUACAGGG